rnacentral:lncRNA from 1 species
GUCGUUCCGAAAAUUCCCACUUUUCUAACAGGAAAAAGAAAAAAAAAAGACAAAAUUUGCUGCUGUUUCCCAUUGCGAAAUUUGUUAAUAUAGAAUCUGUUAAUUCUAACGAUAACCAGCUAGUUAUUUUACAACAAAAAAAUUUUAUCAUUUCUCUCGCACCUGGUUAAUAUUUGCAGGAAACGGAAGAACCACCCAUCCUUUCCUAAUGCGCUUCACGCCCAUCCAUCUCGUUCGUAUGCCUGAGGGGGAUUGCCUUUAUCGAUAGUUUUCUAACGGAGGAAAAAAAAAAUAUAUAUUCUCAAUUUUGUUAUCCUGCUGAUAUUCGUAAACACGAACUGUUCUCUCUCGCAACAAGAAUAGAAUGGCGACUCUUAUUUUGCAGAAGCAAAGAAAAAUAUAUAGUGCAGAGAGAGCGGGGGAGUGGCAGGAACAAAAGAUGAGGGUUGUGUUAAAAACUGUAACCGCGAGACAGCUGCCGCCCAAACUAGUUCCUGUGGCUUUAUUCAUUGGCUAGUUUCCUACAGGUAAAAUAUCUUCGUUUUACCUAGCAGCACACACAAGCAGGUGGCGAAAACCAAGGUCCCGUAACUAUCUACUUUUUUUUUUUUUUUGUUCGAAUAUUCACGUAGAGAAAAAAAAACUUUCGUUUAGCUAUCGUAUAUAUAUAUAUAGAUUAUUAAGUGUAAAGCUUCAAUAAACAAUAUUUGCCGCUGCCAAAUUUCAGAGGCGGUACAGCCAGCCGCAAGUUACGAAAGGAGAGAGGCAAAAAAAAAAAAGAAAAAACGCAUUGGAGUGCGUGUUUCGCACAACCGUGUCACGAAAUCUCUCGUGUCGAGAUGGCGUGCUCUGGCGGAAAGGAAAGCCGGUAUUGUUAAUCGUUCCACUAAGCGCGCAUAGAUGGCGCGGUGUUGUUUUAACACACACGGUACGGCGCCGUAAAAUUGACAUUUUUCCGUGGCAGAAUUCCGUUUUAUUUUUUUGAGACGGUUCGAACUUUUCUGGAAGCGAACGUCCGAAAACGAUUUCCAAAUACCGAACGGAAAUUGUGAAAGGGGAGGUUUCGCGUAUACAAGUAUUAUUGCUCGACCUUGAAUUACGGCAUGUGUUUAGAAGUUCUGUCGUUAUUAAAAAGUACAGGUAGAGCGCGUCGACGAAGGUCAAAUGCAGAUAUUUUGCACGAAUGUGCCGUCGAAGAGGGGGAGGGAAAAAGAUUGGCGUCAGCGCCUUUGACGUCAUGGAGCGCGAGACAGCUUUGGAAAUCUGCCAAGCCGAUGACAUCACAUUUCGCUAACUUUUCAGACAUUUUUCGGGAUUCCGGCCCAACCAACCAACUAACUAGGGAAAAGGGCCUCUCUCAUCGCCCCUCAACCUUAGCAGAUUAGUCUCUCUUAGCCAGUUCGAGUUACAUAUAAGAAAACUUUAUUAAAAUUUAUAAAAUAAUUUUUU